AGGGCUUGCGGCUUUGGUUUAGGCAAACAGGAACCUGGCCGGGACACCUCCGCCCUGGCGGGGGCCACGGCCCACUUUCCAGAUGAGGAAUGCAGGCUCCCAGGGCCCCUGACCGACCAGGUGAGUCCGCCCCCGUGGCCUUUGCUCCUCUGUGGGCCCAUCUGCCCCCUCGAGAGCCCGGGCCUCCCCUCCCCCUGCCCGAACCCGGACCCGGGACCUCGACCGAGGCGGAGGCGGCGGGAAUCACGUCUCCGUCGCAGGCGGGGGUCGGCUGCCCAGCCUCGGGGAGGAGAGCGCGUUCACGCUGACUCCAGCCCCAGGGAGCCCUGCACGCGCACAUGUUCACACCCCCCCUGCACUCACGCACAACCCCUCACACACUCACCCACAGUCACACGGGCACAGCCCCCCCCCGGGGGGGCGGUACCCGGGGCCGCGAUGCACAGGCACCGCCCAGGAGCGAGAAGCGCUCUGUCUCCACCGGGGGUGACUAAUGAUGGGCGCCGCCUCCGAGCUGAGGUCGCGGGCAUCGCGUGGAGGCACGAGGGCAGUUUCCGCACUUGCCUCUCCUCGGAGCCUGAGCUACGGGCCAGGGAGGCAGGUUCUCCGGAGGACCACGUUUGGGGCCGGGCUGUGUGAGCGGCCCUGGUGGGAAACAGGGGCGCACUGAGAUUCUGUGGAUUCCCCCCCACCGCCCUGGCCCUCCAGCCUCGUAGCACACACACAUGCACACGUACAGGCACACAUUCACACGUGCACACACGCGUGUGCUCACACGCACACAUACACUUGCACACGCACGGGCGUGUACGCACAUGCAUGUGCCCACACACACACACGUGCACACUUGACAGGGAAGCAUCCCAUCAGCCAGGGAGAGACGCUCCUGAGUCACUCAAGCUGCAGUAACCCCACCACGCUGGGCACUCAACAGUCUGGAGGCUGGGAGUCCAAGGUCAAGGUGUGGGGGGGGGCUGAGGCGUUGCUCUCUCUGGUGUGUAGACGGCCACCUGCUUCACGUGGCCGCCCCUCUGGGCACACACACUCCUGGCACCUCUCUGUGUCCCAGUCUCUUCUCAUGGGGACACCGGCCAGGCUGGCUUACGGGUCUCGUUUGAUCACCUCUGUAAAGACCCUGUCUCCAAGUCCAGUCACACGCCGAGGCCCUGGGGGUUCCGGCUUCAAUGUGUGGGUUUAGGGGGACAUAAUGGGGAGCCCCACGCUUGCCUCAUUCCCACACUUUGCUGGCAGCUUCCAGACCGCCCCAGGGCCCAGCCUGAGUCCACACAGCCUCUGCCUGUAGAACCAGUUGGAGCUGCUUGGAGAACCGGUCAGGGCAGGCCCGGGUGUGGGUUUGCACAAGGGGCCAGGGAUCCCCAGGACUGGCCUGGCAGUGCGGCCAGGGCCCAGAUACAGGGAUCCCAAGUGGGGCAUGGAGCCGCUCAGUGUCUCCCAGACCCCAAGCUCCUCUCCCCGUCCUAACAGGGCCCCCGAAGGCACCAGGGAGCAAGCAGUGGUGGCAGGCAGUCUGCACGGGACGGCGAGGUCGGCUAUUAGACUGCCCUGGCGACACAGAAGGGACAUUAACAAGGUCCAGAGAGCCAGGGCAGUGUGCAGCCCAGGACUAAAGCUCUGAGAG
ensembl:lncRNA